rnacentral:siRNA from 1 species
UUCUCUUCAGGUUGACAAGU